UGCGUGGUAGAGCAGUUGGUAGCUUGUCGGGCUCAUAACCCGAAGGUCGUAGGUUCGAGUCCUAUCCACGCAA
rnacentral:tRNA from 1 species